rnacentral:tRNA from 1 species
UGUAACUUAGCUCAGGGGUAGAGCGGCUUCCGGAAGGAGGUGGGCGUCGGAUGGUUCGAAUCCUCCAGUUACACUA